AGACAGCCCUGAGAUCACCUAAAAAGCUGCUACCAAGACAGCCACGAAGAUCCUACCAAAAUGAAGCGCUUCCUCUUCCUCCUACUCACCAUCAGCCUCCUGGUUAUGGUACAGAGAGAAGCCUGGAUGUUCAGGAAUGCAAAGAAGACAGGACUCUCCCAUUUCAGAAACAACUGGAGUCUCAAAAGCGACUGCUAUUCCAGGAGGCAGCUUUGGUAGCAUCCCAGAUACAAACUGGACUCUCAGGACAAAACGACACCAGCCAAACCAGCAGCCCCUCAGCAUCCAGCAACAUGAGCGGAGGCAUUUUCCUUUUCUUCGUGGCCAAUGCCAUAAUCCACCUCUUCUGCUUCAGUUGAGGUGACACAUCUCAGCCUUAGC
rnacentral:sRNA from 1 species